rnacentral:rRNA from 1 species
CCUUACACAUGCAAGUCGAACGGCAGCACGGGGCAACCUGGUGGCGAGUGGCGAACGGGUGAGUAAUAUAUCGGAACGUACCCUGGAGUGGGGGAUAACGUAGCGAAAGUUACGCUAAUACCGCAUACGAUCUAAGGAUGAAAGUGGGGGAUGCGCUUGCACACCUCAUGCUCCUGGAGCGGCCGAUAUCUGAUUAGCUAGUUGGUAGGGUAAAAGCCUACCAAGGCAUCGAUCAGUAGCUGGUCUGAGAGGACGACCAGCCACACUGGAACUGAGACACGGUCCAGACUCCUACGGGAGGCAGCAGUGGGGAAUUUUGGACAAUGGGCGCAAGCCUGAUCCAGCAAUGCCGCGUGAGUGAAGAAGGCCUUCGGGUUGUAAAGCUCUUUUGUCAGGGAAGAAACGGAUUUUUCUAAUACAGAGAUCUAAUGACGGUACCUGAAGAAUAAGCACCGGCUAACUACGUGCCAGCAGCCGCGGUAAUACGUAGGGUGCAAGCGUUAAUCGGAAUUACUGGGCGUAAAGCGUGCGCAGGCGGUUUUGUAAGACUGUCGUGAAAUCCCCGGGCUCAACCUGGGAAUGGCGAUGGUGACUGCAAGGCUAGAGUUUGGCAGAGGGGGGUAGAAUUCCACGUGUAGCAGUGAAAUGCGUAGAUAUGUGGA